AUAAAUGGAAUGAAAAAGGGUUAGUCUGACGUAUGGCUUUCUUCCCCGAAUAAUUCGAGACCCUGACGUAUGGCUCGUGACUUGAAUUAUUCUCAUUCUUAUUUUUUUCUAAACAAUCACGAUUAAGCAAAAUUGACCGGUUGACAAAAGCUUCAGUCCAUGCAUAUGUCUAUUGUUAUAUUAUGUCUGCUUGGCUUGUUUUUUGUUCAUCUUGCUUAAACUUAUCAAAUCAAAUCAUAAUUGGAAUGAAAAAGGGUUAGUCUGACGUAUGGCUUUCUCUCCCCGAAUGAUUCGAGACCCUGACGUAUGGCUCGUGACUUGAAUCAUUCUCNNNNNNNNNNNNNNNNNUAAAUCAAAUAAAAGAACUUAAGCAUAAUUAGAGUGAAAAGGGGUUAGUCUGACGUAUGGCUUUCUUCCCCGGAUAAUUCGAGGCCCUGACGUAUGGCUCGUGACUCGGAUUAUCCUCAUUCUAGGACGUUUUCAUUAAAACUCCUAAAAUCAACACAACACACUCAAACCUUUUUCACUGCCCUCGCGCGCAGUAAAGAGAAAACCCUUUUCACAAAACGGGUGACGUUUUCGUCCAUUCUCCGUAAUACAAACCACGCUUAAGCCUCCGAAGUGCGAGCAUACAAGCAGCGUUUAAUACGAGAAUGCGACUUAGACGUCAUGCGUCUAAAAGCAACCAACCCACAAACAUUUUUACCCUGAACUACGAAACCCUGAUUUUCCCAUUGCACCUGGGAAUACGUAGGAGCGAGAUUCAACAUCUUGUCGGGCAUAAUAAAAAACGAAAACCUUUUCCCCCAUAUUAAAUACCAAGAUAAUAAAAACAAACUUUUUCUAUCGAUGAAGCAAGAAACGAGUAAUCAAGCAAACAUUAAAAAACACAUUAAAGCAAACAAACAUUUCCCUCUAAAAGGUUCCCGUUGAGUACAACGGAUGUGAGGGGUGCUAAUACCUUCCUCUCGCAUAACCAACUCCUGAACCC
rnacentral:lncRNA from 1 species